UUAUACCUACGGGGGCUAGACCUGUGGUGUCAUCAUCCAUACGGUUCUACCGUCUGGUAGUUGUAGCAAUAUUAUUAUCGUUAGUAGCUCACGCCUGACAUAAUAUUUUGAUAAAUCUAAUACAUUUUUAGAUUUAAAUAUGACUUUAAUAACUGAAUAAAUACUUUUCUUCUACAAAAAUAUAGAGAGACACUCUCGUUGAAUAUUGUUUUAGUAACGUAUGGGUAAGAUUUUCUAAACGAAGUGUGGCAACCCCAAUUACUUAAUAAAAAAUAAAUAUGUUAUAAAAUGAAAAUGGCGUCAUUUCACCAAAUAAAACACGAAUUCACGAAUAAUAAAAUAAAUGUUUGCCACGGCCUGUUAAUAUUUAUGAAGACCUCUUCAUGGAUUGGAUUUAAGCAACCUGCUGUGUAAUAUCCUCGCCAUUCUUGAUGUUGAGAAGAUCUAUAAGUCUUUUACGUUUCAUCUGAGUGUUGUGGUUUUUCAUUAUGUUAAAAAUAAGACUUUGUUAGUUGAAGUGUCUCUAGAACUAUGAAGAAGAACAAAAGAAAAUGCUUUGAGUGUGGUUUUUCGCCUGCCGAUGAUGCAGAGAAGACCCUACAGAGAUUACAGAAAUUUGAUUCUACAAAUUUAGUCUCCGUAAUGUCCAGAUAAUCAAUGAUUAGACUAUUGGACUUUUAGAAUAAAUUUGACAUUGAACUAUGAAUGGUUUGUCAUCUACAUUUUUAAAAAAGACGAGAUGUUUUGCCUGUAAGAACAAGAGAGAGAGAGAAUAAGAAGGUAAGUUAAACACCUACUGUAAAAUGCACACUGCUCCAAUGUGGGUUGAUAGGCUUGGGGUAAUAAAGUUAAAUUAUAAAAGGAUCACUAUCAGGUGUUAAUGAUAAUGACUGGGAUAUAUAGCAUAUCAUACUCUCUGAGAUAUAGGGAUAUAACACCAGCAACAGCUCUCCAGUGAUGCAGUAGAUAGCAUCAUUGCUCUUUGCAUCUACACGCCACAGCCAGUUGUGGCAAUUGAACUCAUCAUAUUAGUGUGAUGAGCAUGGAUGUAUUUCAGUGUCUAUGUGGUUGUGAGUGUACGCCCAUGUUAAAUAACAAGUAAUGGCCAAAAUAUUAAGUAGAUGUUGAUCAAUAAUCUUCUCUAUCUUCCAGUAAAAGUCCCAUUAAAAUGACCCUGCUGUUCCAGAGAUUAGCUCAAACAAACAGACAGAUGAACAUUUUAAAGAAGUAUGACUGUAUGUCAGUAUUGUAUAUAGGCACUUGAGAAAACACAGUUAUUUUGAAAUCACAGACAUACACUUAAAUUUUAUUUAUAUGUAUUGGUGCUGUUCAUAAAUAUAGCAUCAGCUGAAACAAACUAGGCAUAGUUAAGUUACAUUUUAUACAGGGUGCUCGGGACUAUUUCUCAUAAAUUCAAGGUGUUGACAAGUCCACUUAUAGGAGUUACCUUAGCUACUAGUUUAUAUUGAGGAGAACUUUCCACCUAGAUGGGUUGUGACUGUAUUAGGGGUCUGGUGAUGAAGACGUAGGACGGUUAAGAGAACUCCUCAACGGUUCACAGUAGCUACCAUGUGUUGAUAAAUUUGUAUUGAUGAGAACUUUCCAACUAGAUGGGUUGUGACUGUAUUAGGGGUCUGGUAAUGAAGACGAAGGACGGUUAAGGGAACUCCUCGAUUGUUGUUCACAGUAGCUACCAUGUGUUGAUAAAUUUGUAUUGAUGAGAACUUUCCACCUAGAUGGGUUUUGACUGUAUUAGGGGUCUGGUAAUGAAGACGAAGGACGGUUAAGGGAACUUCUCGAUGGUUCACAGUAGUAAUUAGUUUGAUUCUAAGUCAGAGGCAAUCAAAUACAAUGUUAUAUCACGACUCAUAGCAACAUACCUUUGGCGCUAGAUCAAUAUCUAGGAUGAUUUCACUAAAAAUGGAAAAAUAAAAAUUUUUAAUUAAAGAAAUUCAACCAACUUCAAAAACAUAAAACAUACUGGCUAAACUAAAAAGCGAAAAAUAAUAUUAUACUAAGUUCAUAUCAUAUUAUGUUCUAACUGAUGAUCAGUUUGAAGGCUGUGCUAAACCGGUGUUGUUUUAAUUUAAGCUGUUACUGAAAGAACUACAUGAAAGAACACUGUCUGAAAAACCUAAAUAUUUAUGAUAUUCUUACAUGGCUUGAAUUAAUACAUCAUUGGGCUAGCACCACCUUCAAACUGAUCAUCAGUUAGAACAUAAUAUGAUAUAUAGAACUUAGUAUAAUGUUAUUUUUCGUUUUUUAGUUUAGUAAGUAUGUUUUUGAAGUCGGUUGACUUGUUUUUAUUAAAGUUUUUUAAUACACAUGUUCCUUAGACAUUUUAAAUUAAUUUUCCUUAUAGAACUUGGAGCUACCCUAGAGUUAUGGGAAAUACUCCCGUGCACCCUGUAGAUGCUACUUAAUCCUACUAAUCCUUCAUUCAUCAGUAUCGGUUGGUGGGCUUGGAGUUUAUAAAGAAUAUUAAGUAUAUAUAAUUUAUUUAUGAACAUUCCUCAUUCAGUUGAGCUUUUACUACCCAUAACACAAGCUAAGCUUACUUUGAGACUAGUUAGUGAUGUGUGUAAUGUGUUAAUAUAAAUAUUAACCAACUUUCUGCAGUUUGAGAAUACGCGGAUAAAAUAUAGCCUAUGAUACUCAGAAAUAACUUGGCUUUCUAGUGGUAAAAGAAUUUUCAAAAUUGGAUCCAGAGUUUACCUGCUAGAACACCACCAACUUUACCUCUUUAUAAUACAUACUAGCGGUCGCCCGCGACUUCGUCCGCGUAAAAAUCGAUGUCAACUUUCAACCCCUAUUUCACAUUCUAUUUUGCAAGUUUUAUAACUUAUACCUUGUAACUAAAAAAAUUAAGGACUUUCCGUACAAACUUUCUACCCCUACUUCACCCAAUUCUGAUUUUGUUUUCACGACAAAAAGUAUCCUAUUAUCCUUCUACGUAUUAUGGUCUCAAAUCGUCUUAAGUAUCGUUUGAAUUCAUUCUGUAGUAUCAGCGUGAUGCCCGGUCAAAAAAAAGGCAAACAGACAGACAAAAAAUAGAAAAUAUGAGCGUGGUGCGAUGACAAAGGAAAAUAGAGACUUCUAUGCUAAAAUUAUAAUCUUUGGAUCUACUGGACCGAUUUGAAAGAUUGUUUUAUCAAUAGAAAGCUACGUUAUUUGCGAGUGUCAUAGGCUAUGUUUGAUUCCCAUAUUCACACAGGAACGGGAACCACGUAAUGGAAAGCGCGGGGCGUCAUGUAGCGGACUUUCUGCGUCUUUGAGAAAUUUUGUAUUAUCUCCAAAACUAAUUAACAUACUAUAAAGGGCAAAUCUUAUCUCCAUAAUAUCCUUGUGAUUAUUAAAUAAUUUAUUUUGAUAAGGAUUUAAGUUAAGUAGCAUAAAUAAUGACGCAAACCUAAGUAUAUAAAAUUUAUAAUUUUCAAAACACAAAAGGUACUAUAUCUGCUAAUAUAUAGAAGAUAGAUAUAUGGUGUCGCGGACUUUUUUGUAGAACUUUUAAAGAUACAUAAAGCAUCCAUACAUUAAUUUCAAUUUUACACAAUGGUUAAGGCAGCGCAUGCGAAUAAGUCUGCUUAAGAGGAUUUUCGGUCCGACCUGUAUGACAAAAACUGUGUUAACUCGGCGACUAUAUAUCAUGCUAAUAUAAAAUAUAGCCUAUAGCACUCCCCGAUAAUGUAGCAUUCUACUUGUGAAAGAAUUUUUAAAAUCGGACCAGUAGUUCCGAAAAUUACCCCAUUUAAAAAAUGUGACAAACUUACAAACUUUACCUCUUUAUAAUAUUAGUAUAGAUUAACAACCCAUUUUCGGCUCAUUGUUGAGCACGAGUCACUUCUCAGGACGAGAGGGGUUAGGCCUUAGUCCUCCAUGCUGGCCCAAUGCGGAUUGGCAGACUUCACACACCUAGACAAUUAAGAAAAUUCUCAGUUAUGUAGGUUUCUUCACAAUGUUAUGCUUCACCAUUUAAGACAUUUAAUUUAAAAAUGGGUUGAAUACAUAUCAGUAUAGAUUUUUAUUGUGAGUUUCUUGAAAGAAGGAAAUGCUCAAUAUUUCAUAGACCAACCCAGGACUCAAACUCAGAAUUUCAUGAUAGUUACACUGAACCAAUAAAGCAGUUAGAGAGAGAGAGAGAGAGAGAUAAAUAAAAAGAGUUUAUUAUGUAUUAAAAUUAAAAUAUAUACCUAAUGCUUUCAGCAAUCCUGCUUCUUCACAUGAAUUUUACCCGACGGUUUUUAAUAUAAAAAAUAUUUACACAAUGUCUCAAAAAGCAAUCAAAGCUUUCAAAAAUAAACAAUGUUCGCAGAAGUUCAGUACCAACAAACUCACAAAAAAUGAGCCCAAAAUUUAGCAUUACUUGCAAGCCAGACUAAGAAAUUUCAAGAAGAUAAUUUAAAAGAAUACAAUAGAAUAAAAUAAUAUUAACACACAAUGCUUAGCAAAUAUAGCAUUAACAGAUGGAAACCAGGCAAUAGGUGUAGCAAAAUAGAAGAUGAAGGUCUAGCUGUGCCAGUCAGUGCUGAGCCACACAGUUGCUGCUGGCAUGUUUGCAAAAUAGCACAAGGUGUAGCAAAAUAGAAGAUGAAGGUCUAGCUGUGCCAGUCAGUGCUGAGCCACACAGUUGCUGCUGGCAUGUUUGCAAAAUAGCACAAGGUAACCUGCUUCAUCG